CUUUUACUUAUAAAAUGCUUAAUCCAUUUUUUACUAAUUACAUGUAAAGGAAGAAAAAAUUACUCACAUUUCAAAGUUUGCUUAUGCUUUGAUAAUCUUUCUUUGUAUAUAUCUCGUGGUAACCGAUGGCGAUAUUAUUUCAUGUAUAACUCACUCUUAUUGUCUAGAAAAAAACCAUAUACUUGGGUGUAACAUGCCUAAAGAAUUACCGAUGUGCCUUUCCGCAAUUUGUAUCUGCAAGAAAACCCCUUUAUAAUAUUCUAUUGACUUUGGUCCGUACUUUUUUCCCAUGCUCAGAUUUUAUCGCAUUGGGUUUUUCUGAGAAAAUUUUAAUAAGGGACAUGCUGAAAUCUCUUGGUUAACUUUUAUUUGGUUUUGAUCUAGUCCCUCAAAAUUUGUAAUUCUCAUUUUUAUUUUAUUUAUUAAUAAUAAUUUUAGAGUGCUGAAAAUUAUAUA